rnacentral:rRNA from 1 species
UACGAAGGGGGCUAGCGUUGCCCGGAAUCACUGGGCGUAAAGCGCACGUAGGCGGCUUACUAAGUCAGGGGUGAAAGCCUGGAGCUCAACUCCAGAACUGCCUUCGAUACUGGCGAUCUCGAGUCCGGAAGAGGUGAGUGGAACUCCUAGUGUAGAGGUGGAAUUCGUAGAUAUUAGGAAGAACACCAGUGGCGAAGGCGGCUCACUGGUCCGGUACUGACGCUGAGGUGCGAAAGCGUGGGGAGCAAACAGG